AAUUUUUUUCUGUGCUGGUGUAGUGUACUCAGGUGAAUAUGAUAUUUGUGGUGUUACUCUGAGUGUAUAUCCACACCGGGCGAGCUUGAAAAAUAUGCCCGGCCACGGUGGGAUUUGAACCUACGACCUUUGGAAUACUAGCCCAAUGCUCUUCCAACUGAGCUACGCGGUCAGGACGGUUCGAGUAACUGAUAUUUCGGAACAGAAUCUAGUUCCUUCGAUACCAA